rnacentral:rRNA from 1 species
CUGCAGCUCAAGUGGUGACCGCUAUUAUUGGGCCUAAAACGUCCGUAGCCUGUUUAGUAAAUGCUUGGGUAAAUCGUGUAGCUUAACUAUACGAAUACCGGGUAGACUGCUAGACUUGGGACCGGGAGAGGCUAGAGGUACUCCGGGGGUAGAGGUGAAAUUCUGUAAUCCUCGGGGGACCACCAGUGGCGAAGGCGUCUAGCUAGAACGGGUCUGACGGUGAGGGACGAAGCCCUGGGGCGCGAACCGGAUUAGAUACCCGAGUAGUCC